GCAGGCUGCAACUCGCCUGCAUGAAGCUGGAAUUGCUAGUAAUCGCGGAUCAGCAAGCCGCGGUGAAUACGUUCCCGGGCCUUGUACACACCGCCCGUCACACCAUGAGAGUUGAGAAUACCCGAAGCCCAUGUCAAAGUGGUCGAAGGUAGGCUUGAUGAUUGGGGUGAAGUCGUAACAAGGUAAC
rnacentral:rRNA from 1 species